UACGAACUGUGCGAACGUUAUUCGGAAUCACUGGGCUUACAGGGUGCGUAGGCGGCUCAACAAGUCAGGUGUGAAAGCCCCCGGCUCAACCGGGGAACUGCGCUUGAAACUGUUAGGCUCGAGUCAGCUAGAGGUACACGGAACUUCCAGUGGAGCGGUGAAAUGUGUUGAUAUUGGAAGGAACACCGGAGGCGAAAGCGGUGUACUGGGGUUGGUCUGACGCUGAGGCACGAAAGCCAGGGGAGCGAACGGG
rnacentral:rRNA from 1 species